rnacentral:tRNA from 1 species
GGUGCCGCUGGACCUGGGGGUCUACGGCAGUUUUCAUGCCGGGAGCUGCGACCUGGAAGCGUCCGCCGGUCCGGACCUGGACGGCGACU